rnacentral:rRNA from 1 species
AGCUCCAAUAGCGUAUUGUAAAGUUGUUGCAGUUAAAAAGCUCGUAGUUGGAUUUCGGGCUCGGCGACGACGGUCAGCCGCAAGGUAUGUCACUGUCGGCGUUGGCCUUCUUCGCGCAGACUUCGCGUGCUCUUAACUGAGUGUGCGUCGGAUACGCGACGUUUACUUUGAAAAAAUUAGAGUGUUCAAAGCAGGCUCGUGCUUGGAUACAUAAGCAUGGAAUAAUGGAAUAGGACUUUGGUUCUAUUUUCCGUUGGUUUCUUGAACCGAAGUAAUGAUUAAUAGGGACAGUUGGGGGCAUUCGUAUUUCGUUGUCAGAGGUGAAAUUCUUGGAUUUACGAAAGACGAACUAAUGCGAAAGCAUUUGCCAAGAAUGUUUUCAUUAAUCAAGAACGAAAGU